rnacentral:rRNA from 1 species
AGUGAAUAGAUACCCUGGUAGUCCACGCCGUAAACUAUGCAAACUAGCUAUUGAGAUUUUCGACCGUCGCAGUAGCGAAAGCUAACGCGUUAAGUUUGCCGCCUGGGGAGUACGAACGCAAGUUUAAAACUCAAAGGAAUUGGCGGGGGCUCGCACAAGUGGUGGAACAUGGGGUUUAAUUCGACAGUAAGCGGAAAACCUCACCAAGGUUUGACAUCUAUGGAAUCCUCAAGAAACUGAGGAGUGCCCGCAAGGGAGCCGUAAGACAGGUGCUGCACGGUCGUCGUCAGCUCGUGGCAUGAGUUGUUCCGUUAAGUCGGGAAACGAGCGCAACCCCUAUCGUCUGUUAAAUUUCUCAGACGAGACUGCCUCCGUAAGGGGGAGGAAGGUGGGGAUGACGUCAGAUCAGCGUGGCCUUUAUACCUUGGGCGACACCC